CUGACUGAGGCAGAGGUACAAAAGGCCAGCCCUCUUGCCCCGAAGCAGGGCUAAGUCUGUGCUGUGAUUAAUUCUCCAAAGCUUCCUGAUGGAUCAGGCGGAAGCCAGACUCCACGCGGAGAUAACAUCUUUGCUUAGCCCUUUCCCCUGCCCUACCCUGCUUCCCCCGCACUCCUUUCUCCUGAGAGUUUUCCCUCAAUAAUCAUAUCCCUUGAAUACCUGUCUUAGGCUCUACUGCUGGGGAGCCCCCCUAAGACACCCCUCAAUAGAGCAAUGGAGUCCCUUAGUAAAAUCUGUACUCCUUUACUUGGCAUUCAAGGCCCUCUAUGAUCAGAGCACCCACUUUCCUGCCUUGUCCGCCCCGUCCCCCUUCCCUUGUGCUGUGUUGGUGCAGAGCAUAGCAGAUGACUGAACUGCAUGCUGAAUCGGCAUAUGUUGCCUCAUUUCCCACCUCUGAGCCUUUUCUAUGCUCUUCCUCCCGCUGGGCCUCUCUUUGCUGCCUCCAUCCUCCAUGCACAUUGAAGCACUACCCACACUUCAAGUGAAACCUUCCUGCCCUCGAGCCAGAAGCCCCGUCUCCCUCCUUUGAUCUCCCAGAGCACCUCCUGUGUCUCUCUGAUAACACGAAUCACCUUCUGCUUGGUAACUGUAGGGUAACACCAAGUUCAACGGCACUAUUUCUGUCUCAGUUGAGGCCCCAAAGCCAGCAGGUGCCAACCAGUCCACAUCCAAAGUGAGGCGCAAGACCACCCUAGCAGGACUUACAAAGGAGGUGGCCCAGAGCUGGAACUCCCUGCCGACCCUUCACCCCCAGGCCAUCAGUGAAGCUAUUGAUGAGUCAGUGUUUGCAGGUGCAAAGGAUGCUGAGGAUUUCCCAUGGAGCCUAUGGAGGUGAACUGGGAUUGUUUUUACAAAGGUGUGGACCAGCAGAUGCCCAGAGAUUGAGGGCAGAUGAAAUGACAGCUGGAGAGUGCCACACCCCUGCUAGGGAACAACGACAGAGCUGCUCAUCAAUCAUCUGUAACUGGGGACAGACAGACAGACGGUCGACCUGCGGAGCCAGGAGGAAGGAGUUCUUCUCAGUGACUUUUCAGAGGCACAGCACCCCCAGAGGAUCACAGAGCAGCCUGGAGGGCGUGCCACGCUCAAAGGCCCAAAGUCCUUCUCUCCAGCUUCGAGGGCAGGACAGUGAUGUUCAGGCCUCAGUUUCCCCUAGUACAGCUCUACCCCGACUUGGGCCAGCUGAAUGGGCUGCAGCUUCCUGCUAGUAGUGUUGACGCCUCAAGGAUCCUGUUUCCCCCAUCAGGCUGGCAAUCCUCUGAGGACGAGAACUUUGUCUUCUCUCUCGUUUCCUGUCUUUUCCUCACUCUAUCUGGAAUUCCCAGCUAAGAACUAUGAUCCAGAAACAACACUGCACUGGGAGUCACUGAACAAAUGUGUUAUGUUGAGUGAGCCAUGUCUUCUGGCACAAUCUGUCUUCUGGCAGAGUCUAUUUCCACUGUGGUGGAGUGAAGAGAACAGAGGUUUGCAAGCUAGAUCGGUGUCCCAUUUCAGCUCUACCACAGGCUAGCUGAGUAACCUUAGGAAAAUGUCUUAACCUCUCUGAGAUUCCAUUUCCUCAAAUGCAAAUGGAUUAUCAUAAAACCUACCUUAUGGGGUUGAUGGGAGAAUUAAAUGAGUUAACACAGAGCCAGAACUUAGAGAUACUUAAGACACAAUGCUUUCCUCUCUCCCUCCCUCCUUUCCUCUUUUCCUUUUGUCUCUGACUAUCUUGAAUUCACAGCCCUUUCCAUGGACUCUGGCCACUUUGCUGAUGGGGAAGUGAGAGAGUGGACCCCUGGGGACAAAAGAACCCUAUUGUUGGUGCUGGGUGGAUCCCUGAGUGGGGAGAGCUGGGGUGUGUGCUGAGUGGGGAUGUACCCUUGGGUGGGUGAGGCAGGGCAUUCCUGAUCGGCACAUCUUCCAUGAGGAUAAACUGGAAUGUGACACUGUAACUGUCAGACCCUGAGCGGCAGAACACGGAGGAGCCUAAAUAUUUCAUGGUCAAAUUCAUCAAUAAUGGAGAUGGAGACUAAAUUACAUAACUGUCACCUUUCUGUUAAAUAAUAUUUUCUGCAGGGGGCUGGGAGGGGGCCAUGGAGGCCUUUAUUGCAAGUCAUGAAUGAUUUAGGCCAGCAAAUAAAAGGGAUCAGAGAGAGAAGAAGGGAGAGGGAGUUUCCAGGAUCACCUAAUUCAUUGUCUGGGGCCGGCUGGAGGGAAUCUGAUGGUGUGAGGGUCUUGGGGAGAGGGGCCUGGGUACCCCUAUAGGACAGCUUUGGGGUUUGGGACAUACCCUCCAGAACAGGACAGGGUGAUUGAUGUGCUAACCUGAGUCUCGCUGUCAAGUUGUUCCUUUUACUUGGGAGAUGGACAGAAAGAAGCUCAGAGACACCCAGAAAUCAGGGGCUGUGUCUCCCCAUCAAAUGGAGAGGUACUCUGAGCGCGGGCGCUUGUCUCCGUC
ensembl:lncRNA